rnacentral:misc_RNA from 1 species
UCAAACUUGGUCAUUUAGAGGAAGUAAAAGUCGUAACAAGGUUUCCGUAGGUGAACCUGCGGAAGGAUCAUUAACAUAUUGUCCACGAUACUGGAUAAUUUUUAUCCAUAUCCACCUUGUGUGAACCAUUGACUUGUUUAUUGGCAGGUUUUAGGCAAUCUCUUCUUACAAAAGGGGAGAAUCCUGUGAGCUGGACACUGUCUGUGCUCGGCCUGCCAAUUUUAUUAUUUAAAACGUGUCUCUUUAAACUACCUGUCUGAAAUUCUAUAUAUUUAAUAUUAAAAACAACUUUCAACAACGGAUCUCUUGGCUCUCGCAUCGAUGAAGAACGCAGC